ACGCAGUUGUGACACGGUGAGGAAGAAAAGCGUGCAGGCCACAGGCAGCAGGAGAAGCUGCCCCAGCGGAGCGGUCCCACCCGUGCAGGUGGAGGAAAUCGGCGCCGCCGAUUGCAAACGACGCCCCGUGCCCCCCGCGAGGAAACGGCUGUGCAGCCACGCGAAGGGCCGGACCGCUUCCAGCGCCCUGAGGUCACUGCUUCGAUGUGAGCGAGUCUGAGCUGCGCGUGGCUCUCACCAAGUGUCUGUGCUGCUGCCGGGCUGAGCUCUGCUCUGUGGGAUUAUGCCUGUAGCUCCUGGUUGGAGAUAGAGCCAAAGCUUGCUGCUGAAGAUUAAGCUCUAACAGAGACCCAUGGCUCCUCUCAUGCCGUCUGUUAGCUGCUUCUUUUCAAGAAGCCAGCGCCAUUUCCAAAUCUGUAAUAGAUCUUUAAGGACAACAGAGGAACUGGGAAUGUAUGGAUCUUCAAGUACUGGUCUCCCAUGAGCCUUCUAAACAAGCCUGACUCCACUUUUCUUCCUAAGAGUGAUGCUCCAGCCCUUUGAUCAGGACCGUGGCAUAAUCAGCAAUGACUGGGAUUGGCUCCUGAACAUCCA